CAAAGAGGGCAUGGAAGCAACAUAAGGUUACCAUCGUCAGAAGAGCGACCAAAGAGGAAUUCGUGUGUUGGAAGCACAAUGUAUCAAUCGCAUUAGGCCCCCUAUAAACCAAUCAGAAGAGGAACUCGAGAAUAGAAUUGAAAAAGGGAGGAUAAAGAUAAGCAAAGUACUCGAUACCAGUGUUGAAAGUUCGUCUGAUGAAGAUAUCUCAUUGUCUCAAAUUGCCAAGCAAAGGAAGGAAAGAAAACAGGACAUUUCUAUGUCAAAAGAGAAUCUGCUGAAGCUAAUAAUAGAAGAAAAAAGACGACAGAAAUCUCCACCAUUUCCAAGUACAGCUCCCAAGAGGUGUGAUGAGCUAAAGGAGCUCAAGAGAAAAAAUGAUGUUUUCCAACUGAAGUUGGAUGAGUACCAAUGCCUAAAUAAGAAACUUCAAAAGUUGUUGCAUGUAAAGCUAGACAAAGGCUACCAAAACACCAUUAUCACCAGCAGCAGCAUCAAACUCAGCACCAACAUUUGAGUCAGUAGCAGCAACAACAUCAGCUGCAUCAGUGGCUGAACCUGAUGAAGAACCUCAGUUGUAUUGCAAGUCAGGCGAUAAGAUUCACCUUGGCAGUGGCAUAUUUAUCCCUACUUUCAAGUGGGAAAUGUUACAGCUCCAGAAAAAAAAACUCAAUUUUUGUGAAAAAUCUGGCAGUUUCUGUAUGGGGUUGUGAGGCCUUGAAAACUAGAUAUGUUGACGGCAACGGCCAUGUUAUCCUGAAUCUACUCCAAAACCACCAUUAACACCAUUAAAGGUGCAAACUGUUAAAAGGUGUUAUGUAGACCGACUGAAGACCAUGCAAUUAAGUACUGAAGAAUUCAAAUCUGAAGAACGAAAGUUCAAGAAGUACCUUACUGAAAAGAUAAUGGAUUUGAAUAGAAAGAAGUAAUAGAACAAAACCUUGAUAUACACCGCACUUUUCACUUUAAUGGCAACUGACCCAACCUGAUGUUUGUAUUACAGUAUUUUGAAGCGAUUGACGUCAAGUCACUUAUGUUACACAAUUAAAGUUUUUAAUUAAAAUGCGUAUGUUUAAAA